UAAAGAGGAAAUUCGCUGUAGUGAAUAAGUAGCUUGGGCAAGGCAAUGUGCGCGUCACCUUCUCUCUCGUAGCCCCCAUUUCCGUUCUUCCCCCGAUCGAAUCCACACGGUGAUGAUGGUAGCUACUUCGACGACCCCUGCGAGUAUCGACGACUUCAUCUUAGGGUUCUCUGCCAGCGGAGUGGUUCUGCUCCGGCGAGGUGAGAUUCCCCUCAUCAAUCUGCCCUAAUCUGGCAACGGUGGUUUGAGGCCAGAUCUAGGGUUUUUGCCAGAGUGGUUCUGCUCCGGUGAUUCUCUUCCUUCCAUCCCUACGUCAGACAAAAGUCCCUGCCAACAUGGUUGCGAACGCAAGAGGAGGAAGUCGGCUUCAUCUCUUCUUCUCCGGAGCAAGAGCCUCCAGAAAUUUAAUGGGAGUAGUAUAUUCAUCUCUGGUAGAAGUCGAUUGUUUCAUCUUCAUUUCCAGCAAGCUCCUUCUCAAAUUCCCUCACUUAGUGCUGUGAAACCUUCCCGCGGAUGUGGUAACGAAAGCAGGAGUGUAUCCAGCGAUUUUAAUGUGUUCAAUCCUAUUCUGGUAGAAGCAUUGUGCUGGAAUUCUGAGUGGCCCCUGUGUUGGAAGCAAUCUUGAGGAUCAAAGUGUGACCAUAAGUUUUGAUGUUCGGGUAAAGAGUUUAAAUUAAAUUUACUUUUAUAUUUGAUA